CAGCCGGAUAAUCGGGAGAAAUUCCGUCUAAUACGGCAUAAUGCAUCGACGGGACAUCCUGUUGGUGCCAAAGGUUGAUUCCGGUGGCGGAUGGGCAUGCGUCGCAUUAGUUAGUUGGCGGUGUAACGGACCACCAAGACGACGAUGCGUAGGGGUUCUGAGAGGAAGGUCCCCCACACUGGUACUGAGACACGGACCAGACUCCUACGGGAGGCAGCAGUGAGGAAUAUUGGUCAAUGGGCGGGAGCCUGAACCAGCCAAGUCGCGUGAGGGAUGACGGCCCUAUGGGUUGUAAACCUCUUUUGCCGGGGAGCAAAGUGCCGCACGUGUGCGGUUUGGAGAGUACCCGGAGAAAAAGCAUCGGCUAACUCCGUGCCAGCAGCCGCGGUAAUACGGAGGAUGCGAGCGUUAUCCGGAUUUAUUGGGUUUAAAGGGUGCGUAGGCGGACGCUUAAGUCAGCGGUAAAAUUGCGGGGCUCAACCUCGUCGAGCCGUUGAAACUGGGUGCCUUGAGUGGGCGAGAAGUACGCGGAAUGCGUGGUGUAGCGGUGAAAUGCAUAGAUAUCACGCAGAACUCCGAUUGCGAAGGCAGCGUACCGGCGCCCAACUGACGCUGAAGCACGAAGGCGUGGGUAUCGAACAGGAUUAGAUACCCCGGUAGUCCACGCAGUAAACGAUGAAUGCUAGUUGUCCGGGGCGAUUGAGUUCUGGGUGACACAG
rnacentral:rRNA from 1 species